rnacentral:pre_miRNA from 22 species
UGUGGGUGUCCAAAGUGCUGUUUGUGCAGGUAGCUGCUCACUGACCCUACUGCAAAAGCAGCACUUGAGACGCGCUCGG